CCUACGGGAGGCAGCAGUGGGGAAUAUUGGGCAAUGGACGCGAGCCUGAACCAGCAAAGCCGCGUGAAGGAAGAAUGCUUUCUGGUUGUAAACUUCUAUUGUCAGGGACGAAGAACGUGGCGGUACCUGACGCAUAUGCCACGGCUAACUACGGGCCAGCAGCCGCGGUAAUACGUAGGUGGCAAGCGUUAUCCGGAUUUAUUGGGUGUAAAGGGCGUGUAGGCGGGAAUGCAAGUCAGAUGUGAAAACUAUGGGCUCAACCCAUAGCCUGCAUUUGAAACUGUAUUUCUUGAGUGCUGGAGAGGCAAGCGGAAUUCGGGGUGUAGCGGUGAAAUGCGUAGAUAUACGGAGGAACACCAGUGGCGAAGGCGGAUUGCUGGACAGUAACUGACGCUGAGGCGCGAAAGCGUGGGGAUCAAACAGGAUUAGAUACCCGUGUAGUC
rnacentral:rRNA from 1 species